AUGAACGCUAGCGACAGGCCUAACACAUGCAAGUCAGGGGCAGCACAAGGAGCAAUCUGAGGUGGCGACCGGCGCACGGGUGAGUAACACGUAUGCAACCUGCCUGUAAGCGGGGAAUAACCCGUUGAAAGACGGACUAAUACCGCAUAAUACUAAAUUACUGCAUGGUAAUUUAUUUAAACAUUUAUGGCCUACAGAUGGGCAUGCGCAUGAUUAGCUAGUUGGAGAGGUAACGGCUCCCCAAGGCAACGAUCAUUAGGGGUUCUGAGAGGAAGGUCCCCCACACUGGUACUGAGACACGGACCAGACUCCUACGGGAGGCAGCAGUGAGGAAUAUUGGUCAAUGGACGAGAGUCUGAACCAGCCAAGUCGCGUGCAGGAAGAAUGUCCCUAUGGAUUGUAAACUGCUUUUGCAGGGGAAUAAAGUGCAUCACGUGUGAUGUUUUGUAUGUACUCUGCGAAUAAGGAUCGGCUAACUCCGUGCCAGCCGCCGC
rnacentral:rRNA from 1 species